rnacentral:rRNA from 1 species
AUUGAACGCUGGCGGCAGGCCUAACACAUGCAAGUCGAGCGGAUGAAGAGAGCUUGCUCUCUGAUUCAGCGGCGGACGGGUGAGUAAUGCCUAGGAAUCUGCCUGGUAGUGGGGGACAACGUUUCGAAAGGAACGCUAAUACCGCAUACGUCCUACGGGAGAAAGUGGGGGAUCUUCGGACCUCACGCUAUCAGAUGAGCCUAGGUACGAUUAGCUAGUUGGUGAGGUAAAGGCUCACCAAGGCGACGAUCGUUAACUGGUCUGAGAGGAUGGACAGUCACACUGGAACGGAGACACGGUCCAGACUCCUACGGGAGGCAGCAGUGGGGAAUAUUGGACAAUGGGCGAAAGCCUGAUCCAGCCAUGCCGCGUGUGUGAAGAAGGUCUUCGGAUUGUAAAGCACUUUAAGUUGGGAGGAAGGGCAGUAAGUUAAUACCUUGCUGUUUUGACGUUACCGACAGAAUAAGCACCGGCUAACUUCGUGCCAGCCGCCGCCGUAACAC